rnacentral:lncRNA from 1 species
UAAUCACUUUUCGCGUACAUCGAUGCGCACAUACUUAUGUGUAGGAUAUCAGAUGAACCGAGCACGGAGUAAAAUCUCUGCAAUCAGCAAUGAGGAUCGUAUCUUCGUUAAUUAAAGCGUAUUGCCUCUUGUUCUACAGAUAACGGCUAUGAAACUCACCUCAGACAACACCAAUCAACACGAAUUUUGAGCAUGAUCUGAAUCAACGCUUCCUCAUCACAUCGAGGCGAAAACAUCAGUAGUAAAACAAAACAUGGCAAAAAAAAAAAAAAAAAAUCCGAAUGAGGAUGGGGCGAAACGAUACAGAAGAAAAGGCUAGCGGUGAUAACGCACUAGCAGUCGGGUACCCGAUGAUAUUCCGUAACACCCCGCGAUUAUGGUAUCCCUCCAUUAAAUUACAAUCUGUUACAUUUUGAUUGUACCUAUACUGUAUGCAAAGUUUAGAUAAAAUCAGGCUGGUGGAAGGGAUAAAGUUAUACUCCUAUACUUGAAAAUGAUGUAUAAUUAUUAUAAAAAUCAGCUGCAGAAUAGGUAAAUCUUUCUUUAAAGGUAGUACGUAUGCAUGUUUAAUACAUGUUUAAUACUAGCAGCCCGUCGCGCGCGGCUCCGUUCGCUAAUAUUUUCAAAUGCUUAUCGUGACAAAAUUAUUAGACUUUUUGAGCCGAGACGUUGGAAACUCUUGAUCAUGAAUUUCUUCUGUCUGUCAGAGUUCGUUCGGCGUUCGCACAAGUGUGUGAUCCUCUUCCGACUUGACUUGCAAAUAUCGUUAUAUCGUCAAAAGUAUUGAUCUCGUUGUGACGACAUACAGCCUAAAACCUACCCAAACGUUACAC